AAGAACAUGGCCAUAAUUUACGUGCCUGUCAACGAAUGCGGUCUCUGUAACUUCGACUAUUAGUUCUAAUUAUAUUAUCCACAUGCAUGCGCCCCAUACUACUGUUGUAUUGUACAUUGUGCGUUGUAAUUAACCAGUAUAGCGCUUCUAGUCAGGCGAGACAGUGGGACUAAUUGUCCUGUUCGUUGUUGUUUUUGUAAUGACACGGGACGUAGGGCGCGAUAUAUAUGCGGUUUAACGAAAAACCGGUCGGAUUCAAAUGUCGUCGAGCUGUUUUAAGAAGCGACUCGCGCUCGGACGGACAGAACUAGAUAGAGAGUUAGAGAGAACCUACCCAGGAGACGUAGAGGGAGUUAUCACGUGAGUCUUAUACGAUGUAGAGAGCCAGAGAGGAGUGUCGCCAGGCGGAUUCCAAUAUGGACAAAACUUCGGCUGUCGUAUUUAUGAUGUGGUCUGUCAAGCGAACAACUGGACAAGCAUGAAACCUGGACACAUCCUGACCGCUCUCCUGAUAUUCACAUGCAUUGCGCUGUCUUUGCAAUUCGGUGGCCACUCUCACGUCUGCGUCCCGGUCACAAACCACAACAGUGGCAAGAUAGGAGCGUGGUGCCGUGCCUCCUGCCACUGUCACAACUGCGAGUGUGGCUAUCCGAUAAGAUACAAAUGGUUCAAGUUUCUCUGCCUCAGUCCGACGCCUAUACAAAGCCAUACGCCGACACACAAAGACGCACCACUUGGCUCCUCGGUUGGAACGUUGUCCUAUGGCUAUUACUCCGGAGACAAGAUUGAUAAGUGCACGAAAAUAUGUGGUUGCGCGUACUGUGAUUGUCUGUAUACUGUGCCUACCAAGAACUAUGGGAAUACCCAUGACAAUGAGAAUGUUGAUCCCGUGAACAGGCUUUCCAGCAGUCCUCGACAAAAUUUUAGGGCUAAUUUUAGGGAGAAAUUAAGGUUUUUUUAGGGCUAUUU